rnacentral:rRNA from 1 species
AGAGUUUGAUCCUGGCUCAGGAUGAACGCUGGCGGCGUGCUUAACACAUGCAAGUCGAACGAACCUUCGGGUUAGUGGCGGACGGGUGAGUAACGCGUGAGAAUCUGCCCUCAGGAGGGGGAUAACGGCUGGAAACGGCCGCUAAUACCCCAUAUGCCGCGAGGUGAAAUGAGUUUCGCCUGAGGAUGAGCUCGCGUCUGAUUAGCUAGUUGGUGGGGUAAGAGCCUACCAAGGCAUCGAUCAGUAGCUGGUCUGAGAGGAUGAUCAGCCACACUGGGACUGAGACACGGCCCAGACUCCCACGGGAGGCAGCAGUGGGGAAUUUUCCGCAAUGGGCGAAAGCCUGACGGAGCAACGCCGCGUGAGGGAUGAAGGCCUCUGGGCUGUAAACCUCUUUUAUCAAGGAAGAAGAUCUGACGGUACUUGAUGAAUAAGCCACGGCUAAUUCCGUGCCAGCAGCCGCGGUAAUACGGGAGUGGCAAGCGUUAUCCGGAAUUAUUGGGCGUAAAGCGUCCGCAGGCGGUUUUGUAAGUCUGUUGUUAAAGCGUGGAGCUUAACUCCAUUUCAGCAAUGGAAACUGCAAGACUAGAGUGUGGUUGGGGCAGAGGGAAUUCCCGGUGUAGCGGUGAAAUACGUAGAUAUCGGGAAGAACACCAGUGGCGAAGGCGCUCUGCUGGGCCAUAACUGACGCUCAUGGACGAAAGCCAGGGGAGCGAAAGGGAUUAGAUACCCCUGUAGUCCUGGCCGUAAACGAUGAACACUAGGUGUCGGGGGAAUCGACCCCUCCGGUGUCGUAGCCAACGCGUUAAGUGUUCCGCCUGGGGAGUACGCACGCAAGUGUGAAACUCAAAGGAAUUGACGGGGGCCCGCACAAGCGGUGGAGUAUGUGGUUUAAUUCGAUGCAACGCGAAGAACCUUACCAGGGUUUGACAUCCUGCGAAUCUUUUGGAAACGAGAGAGUGCCUUCGGGAACGCAGAGACAGGUGGUGCAUGGCUGUCGUCAGCUCGUGUCGUGAGAUGUUGGGUUAAGUCCCGCAACGAGCGCAACCCACGUCGUUAGUUGCCAGCAUUUAGUUGGGCACUCUAGCGAGACCGCCGGUGAUAAACCGGAGGAAGGUGUGGAUGACGUCAAGUCAUCAUGCCCCUUACAUCCUGGGCUACACACGUACUACAAUGCUACGGACAAAGGGCAGCAAACUCGCGAGAGCUAGCAAAUCCCAUAAACCGUGGCUCAGUUCAGAUCGUAGGCUGCAACUCGCCUACGUGAAGGAGGAAUCGCUAGUAAUCGCAGGUCAGCAUACUGCGGUGAAUACGUUCCCGGGCCUUGUACACACCGCCCGUCACACCAUGGAAGUCGGCCACGCCCGAAGCCGUUACUCCAACCC